GGGGGCGAACCGGUUUCGACGAGGGGAGAAAGCGAUCUGGUGCACGCCGCGGCCUUCCCAAACUCACCGCGCAAAAAAGAGCAUGGGAAACACAAAAGCCAACGACAACGUUGAGCUCGCUCUCGCAGCCUAAAAACUGCUAGCGACGCCGGUUCCCAGGUCCGCCUCUACGAGGGAGACCCGGCGCGUCUGAUGAGGCUGGCACCGCCGAGCCCCUUGCCGUCGGCGGUGCGAGAAACAGGUGAGGGACUCGGCGCGAGAGGACGUUCGCCUUCGCUCGCGCCGAGAACAAACGGCGAACUACGCGUGUAGUGCCAGCUCGGGGACGCCUUUCGGACGCGGGUUCGAUUCCCGCCGCCUCCACCA
rnacentral:tmRNA from 1 species